rnacentral:rRNA from 1 species
UCAGGACGAACGCUGGCGGCGUGCUUCAUACAUGCAAGUCGAACGAGAAGCUGACUUCGGUCAGUAGAAAGUGGCGGACGGGUGAGUAAUGUGUAGAGAAUCUGCCCUAGAGUGGGGGACAACAGUUGGAAACGACUGCUAAUACCGCAUAUGAGCGUACCUGAAAUGGUAUUCUUGAAAACUCCGGUGCUCUGGGAUGAGUCUGCAUCUGAUUAGCUAGUUGGCGGUGUAAUGGACCACCAAGGCGACGAUCAGUAGCUGGUUUGAGAGGAUGGUCAGCCACAAUGGGACUGAGACACGGCCCAUACUCCUACGGGAGGCAGCAGUAGGGAAUUUUGCGCAAUGGGGGAAACCCUGAACCGCAGCAACGCCGCGUGAUUGAAUAAGCCCUUCGGGGUGUAAAGAUCUGUCAGUAGGGACGAAACUUGACGGUACCUACAGAGGAAGCAUCGGCUAACUCCGUGCCAGCCGCGGC